rnacentral:rRNA from 1 species
UACGUAGGGUGCAAGCGUUAAUCGGAAUUACUGGGCGUAAAGCGUGCGCAGGCGGUUGUGUAAGACAGAUGUGAAAUCCCCGGGCUCAACCUGGGAACUGCAUUUGUGACUGCACGGCUCGAGUGCGGCAGAGGGGGAUGGAAUUCCGCGUGUAGCAGUGAAAUGCGUGAGAUAUGCGGAGGAACACCGAUGGCGAAGGCAAUCCCCUGGGCCUGCACUGACGCUCAUGCACGAAAGCGUGGGGGAGCAAACAGG